GGCGAACGGCUGGACAUGUUCUUAGCCUUAGCCUUAGAUGUGCCGCACUAAAGCCCGCGUCGAGCCGCGUGCCCAAGCACUGGAACAAACCCUAACUCCUACCCCCGCAUCCAAGAUGGUUGCCCAACGGCAACGAUCCAGUUCAUGUAGCAGCCGCCGCCACCUCGCCGGCUCUCUCAUGUUCCUCGCGACGACCGCCUUCGCGCUCCUCCUCCCCCGCUCGUCGCCCCUCAGCUAUGGCAUCGUUAUUGACGCCGGCAGCACGGGGAGCCGCGUCCACGUCAUCACCUACCACGCGGGCGCGCUCCUGCAGCUGGAUUGGUCGCGCACGUCGUCACUGAAGGCCACCCCUGGUUUGUCCUCGUUCGCAGCCGACCCAGGCAGCGGGGGCCUGUCGAUCGCCCCGCUAUUGGAGUUCGCAAGGCGGCACGUGCCGCGGGAUAGUUGGGUUCACACCGAGGUGCGACUCAUGGCCACGGCCGGAGUCCGUCUGCUUGAUGUCACGACUGCUGAAGCGAUCAUGGAGUCAUGCAGGGAGCUGCUUCGGGGGUCAGGCUUCCGUUUCCAGGAUCAGUGGGCCACUAUGAUCUCAGGAGCUGAUGAAGGGAUUUAUGCAUGGGUUGCGGCAAAUUAUGCAUUGGGUACUCUCGGUGGUGCUAGACAAGAUACUACUGGGAUAAUUGAGCUUGGUGGGGCUUCUAUUCAGAUAACGUUCGCCACCGAUAAACCUAUGCCUCCGGAGUUCUCCCACGUGUUCAAGUUCGGCGAUAUCACAUAUAACCUGUACAGCCACAGUUUUCUACAUCUUGGUCAGAAUGUAGCAUAUGAAUCACUCCAUGAUUUGCUGAGCACACCCCUUAAAUCAAUGUCCACACAUUUAAUUCAUCAAGCUACAUACAGAGAUCCUUGCACCCCAAGGGGAUUUUCACGCAUGGCGGGACCAGUUAAACUUCCCGCUAGUGUUCUCGAGUCCAAGGCUGACUACAAACAUUUUGCUCAUGCGGUUGGCAACUUCUCUGAGUGUAGAUCUGUGGUGAGAACAUUAUUGCAGAAAGGACAAGAGGAAUGUAUAUAUCAUGAUUGUCGUCUGGGAGCAGCAUUUGUACCAGACCUGGAAGGAAAAUUCUUAGCAACCGAGAAUUUCUACCAUACCUUGAAGUUCUUUGGGCUCCGUUCGAAGUCUUUUCUUUCUGAUUUGAUGCUGGCUGGAGAGCAAUUUUGCCAUGGGGACUGGUCAUCAAACAUUAAAAGGAAGUACCGUUCUUUCAAUAAGGGGGAACUGCUCCUUUUUUGCUUCUCCUCAGUGUAUAUUGUGGCCUUACUGCAUGAUACUCUAAAAGUGCCCAUGGAUCAUAAGAACAUUGAUGUUACAAAUCAAAUUCGGGGUGUGCCAGUUGACUGGGCAUUGGGCGCUUUCAUUGUGCAGAAAAACUAAAUCGUAUAGACCGAAAAGAUCUCACCUCAAGACAAUAUAGGACAUGGAGAGAGGCCGGCAGAUGAUAACAAGGGUCAGCCGAUGAGCCUUGCGCCUGGUCGCUGGGAGUUGUUCCUGCGAUGGAGCAGCAGUGAUCGCAUAUGUAAAUAUUCCUGACCUGUCUUUUUACCAGUGGCCAUUGUAUGAUUCCGACAUGCUGCCCUGCUGAACAGGACCGGGUGUAAGCAACCCUUUUGUGAGCAUAGUUGCUUAAUGCGGUCACUGGUGCAUCACGCAUGGGUUGUUGAAAUUCCGACAUGCUGCCCUGCUGAACAGGACUGAGUGUAAGAUCAACGACUUGGGUUUGCUGCAGUACUUGUGAGCAUAGUUGCUUAAUGCUCUAUUUGGUACUCCCUCCGUCCCAAAAUAUAAGAUCAUUUUUUUAUACGAAGAUGGUGUAAAAAAUGAUCUUAUAUUUUUGGACGGAGUGAGUACCAUAUUAUUACUUGUAAUGUAGUUGAAAGUUGUGUGUUGUUGAAAUCUUCGAAAUACGUUGAAUACUCUUGGGUCAUCUCCAAAACAAGACCAAUUUUUCAUGUGUAUGUUUGUUACUACC
rnacentral:rRNA from 1 species